UACAGAGGGUGCAAGCGUUAAUCAGAAUUACUGGGCGUAAAGAGCGCGCAGGCGGUCGUUCAAGUCGCGUGUGAAAGCCCCCGGCUCAACUGGGGAGGGUCACGCGAUACUGAUCGACUCGAAGGCAGGAGAGGGUAGUGGAAUUCCCGGUGUAGUGGUGAAAUGCGUAGAUAUCGGGAGGAACACCAGUGGCGAAGGCGACUACCUGGCCUGUUUCUUGACGCUGAGGCGCGAAAGCUAGGGGAGCAAACGGG
rnacentral:rRNA from 1 species